CCCCCCCCCCAAAGGUAAACGGUUGACUUCUUCUUAAGUUUUAAUGGUCUUAAAAAUUUCAAUGUAAAAAAAAGAAAUCUUUAUCAUAGUUAAGGAAAAUCAAUGCUUCCAGUAAAUUUUAUCUAUGUGAAAUAACAUUGAUUCUUAGUAAUAAAUGGUCAGAGGGCAAACAGCUGUUUCCUUCAAAUACUUAUGAUCUGUUGAAUCAUUAGUAUUUGAUCAGUAAUGUAUUAUUUUUUUGCCUUAGGUGUGUGUGUGUGUGUGUGUGUGUGUGUGUGUGUGUGUUGUGUAUUGGUUUUGUUUCACCUCACUACUGUGCAUUGCUUAUUAUUCUUUUCUUCUUUUUUUUCUCCUCUCUUCUACAGUGUGUCUUUUGUCCUGUCUCCCUCCCCUCACCCACAAUCAGUCUCUGCAGAUGGCUGCACCUCCCUGAGCCUGGUUCUGCCAGAGGUUUCUUCCUGUUAAAAGGGAGUUCUUCCUUCCCACCAUUGCCACAUGCUUGCUUGGUGCCAUAUACAGUCAUAUAAAAAUGUUUGGGAACCUUUCUUCUGGAUGGAAAUUUUCGAUAACAUUACAAGUCAGAGGACUGUGAAGCCAUUCCAGAACAUUGUACUUCUCCCAUGAUGCCUUUGUAGAUUUCGAACUGUUUUGGGUCAUUGUCUUGUUGAAGUGUCAACCCCACAAACUUAAACUCUGUGACUGAUGCUUGAACAUUAUCCUGAAGAAUUGGUUGACGUUGGGUUGACUUCAUGAACUAGCCCCACAGCCCACAGCAUGAUGAAGCCUCCACCAAAUUUGACAGUGGGUAGCAGGUGUUUUUCUUGUAAUGCAGCUUUUUCUUCUGCCAUACAAAGUGCUUUUUGUCAUGAGACUCAAUUAUUAUUUCAUCAGUCCAAAGCUCUUUCUUCCUAAAUGAAUCUGGCUUAUUUAAUUGAGCUUUUGCAUACAAGCCUCCCCUGAACGAUCUUUGUUUUCAGAUCUUUGAGAGUUGCCUUGACGAUCCCAUGCUGUCACUCUUCAGAGGAGAGUCAAAGAGAAGCACAACUUGCCAUGUGCCACCUUAAAUACCUUUUCUUAUAAUUGGACACACCUGUAUUUAAAGUUAAAGACUUAACAAGCUAAUUUUGGUAUGUACCCAAUUUUUUUGCACAGCAGGUUUUCACAUUGAAUUUCAUACAAGUAAAUACUGCUUCACUUAAAUCUUUGUCUGGAAAACACUGCAGUACUCAGAUAUUCCUAGAAAAUAAAAGACAUACCACUGUUAUCUUUUUUGGUGAAAGUAGAGUGAAUUAUUAUGAUGCUGAGAGGGGUUACCAAAUGUUUUCAUAUGAGUGUAAUUACUAUUUAAUCAAUUUAAAUAAAUGCUACUGAGCUUCAUGGAACAGGUUGGAUCAGUGUUAAGAUUUUAGUUUUGAAUUUUUGGCGUUUUUUUCCCCCUUCCAGCCCAAAAAGGUUAGAUUAUUUUGGUUUUUAUUUACUGUUCAUCAUCUUAUCAACAAAUUAGUGUAUAUUUUCAACCUAACCAUUUGAUUCAUUAAAACUGUAUUUUUGAGCAGUACAAUUUGUCUCAACAAAAUGGUCCUCAUACAAGUCCCACAGCGAUGGAGCAGUCAGCAAUGUUGACUUGUCGCAAUAAAGCUUAAAGCCGUUUGGAUGGGCCCUUUCUGCGUGGAGUUCACAGGUUGUAUGUUUUCUCUCACAGCACCAAAACAUACAAGGUAAACUGAUAUCACUCUAAAGCAACUGUACAAGGAUGGAUAGAUAAAUUGACAUCCUAACUGGUAAUCAAAGGUGUACGGGUGUAACACACAUGUAUCUGCAGCUGUUACAGAUAUAGAUGAGUUAUAAUUUAACAUCAAUGUUUCCUUUAACUUUGCAGAGAUAUUCCCACGUGAUGCUUCACUGAAACCAAAAUGUUACCCAUAGAUGUGUGGUUUCUCAUUUUACCCCCCACCAAAAAGACCUGCUGUUUUAGAGGGUUUAGAGAUAACCUGAACUCCACCGAAGUAUCCUCAAUGAAGGGCUACUGAAGAGUCUUCUUGCAGGUUACAACCCUCGCACUUUCUAUUUUACAGCUACACAGUAACAAACGUACAAAGACACAAACUCCGCUCCAGACUGUUUUAUUUUUGGAUGUUGAGGACAUGUCCAGCUCGGUUAAAUUAUAGAAAACAAAGUCCCAAAUCCACCAGCUAUCAUGGCCGCUGGUUUACUGGUCCUUCAACUCCUUCAGCCUCCUGAUAGCGGACUUGA